CAAGCGGUGGAGCAUGUGGUUUAAUUCGAUGCAACGCGAAGGACCUUACCUGGUCUUGACAUCCACAGAAUCUUGCAGAGAUGCGAGAGUGCCUUCGGGAACUGUGAGACAGGUGCUGCAUGGCUGUCGUCAGCUCGUGUUGUGAAAUGUUGGGUUAAGUCCCGCAACGAGCGCAACCCUUAUCCUUUGUUGCCAUUGGUUCGGCCGGGAACUCAAAGGAGACUGCCGUUGAUAAAGCGGAGGAAGGUGGGGACGACGUCAAGUCAUCAUGGCCCUUACGACCAGGGCUACACACGUGCUACAAUGGCGUAUACAAAGGGAGGCGACCUCGCGAGAGCAAGCGGACCUCAUAAAGUACGUCUAAGUCCGGAUUGGAGUCUGCAACUCGACUCCAUGAAGUCGGAAUCGCUAGUAAUCGUGAAUCAGAAUGUCACGGUGAAUACGUUCCCGGGCCUUGUACACACC
rnacentral:rRNA from 1 species